rnacentral:rRNA from 1 species
UACGUAGGUGGCAAGCGUUGUCCGGAAUUAUUGGGCGUAAAGCGCGCGCAGGCGGUCGUUUAAGUCGAAUGUGAAAGCCCCCGGCUCAACUGGGGAGGGUCAUUCGAUACUGAUCGACUUGAAGGCAGGAGAGAGAAGUGGAAUUCCCGGUGUAGUGGUGAAAUGCGUAGAUAUCGGGAGGAACACCAGUGGCGAAGGCGACUUCUUGGCCUGUUCUUGACGCUGAGGCGCGAAAGCUGGGGGAGCAAACGGG